GUCGCGCGGAUCUUCAGAGAUUAGAGUUUGAUCCUGGCUCAGAUUGAACGCUGGCGGAAUGCUUUACACAUCGCAAGUCGAACGGCAGCACGGGAGCUUGCUCCUGGUGGCGAGUGGCGAACGGGUGAGUAACAUAUCGGAACGUACCUAGUAAUGGGGGAUAACUAGUCGAAAGAUUAGCUAAUACCGCAUACGCCCUGAGGGGGAAAGCGGGGGAUCGUAAGACCUCGCGUUAUUAGAGCGGCCGAUAUCUGAUUAGCUAGUUGGUGGGGUAAAAGCCUACCAAGGCGACGAUCAGUAGCUGGUCUGAGAGGACGACCAGCCACACUGGAACUGAGACACGGUCCAGACUCCUACGGGAGGCAGCAGUGGGGAAUUUUGGACAAUGGGCGCAAGCCUGAUCCAGCCAUUCCGCGUGAGUGAAGAAGGCCUUCGGGUUGUAAAGCUCUUUCGCAAGGGAAGAAACGAUGCAGUCGAAUAAACUGCGUUAAUGACGGUACCUUGAUAAGAAGCACCGGCUAACUACGUGCCAGCAGCCGCGGUAAUACGUAGGGUGCGAGCGUUAAUCGGAAUUACUGGGCGUAAAGCGUGCGCAGGCGGUUUUGUAAGUCAGAUGUGAAAUCCCCGGGCUCAACCUGGGAACUGCGUUUGAAACUACAAGGCUAGAGUGUAGCAGAGGGGGGUAGAAUUCCACGUGUAGCAGUGAAAUGCGUAGAGAUGUGGAGGAAUACCAAUGGCGAAGGCAGCCCCCUGGGUUAACACUGACGCUCAUGCACGAAAGCGUGGGGAGCAAACAGGAUUAGAUACCCUGGUAGUCCACGCCCUAAACGAUGUCUACUAGUUGUUGGUGGAGUAAAAUCCAUUAGUAACGCAGCUAACGCGUGAAGUAGACCGCCUGGGGAGUACGGUCGCAAGAUUAAAACUCAAAGGAAUUGACGGGGGCCCGCACAAGCGGUGGAUUAUGUGGAUUAAUUCGAUGCAACGCGAAAACCUUACCUGGCCUUGACAUGUACGGAACUUUCCAGAGAUGGAUUGGUGCCCGAAAGGGAACCGUAACAA
rnacentral:rRNA from 1 species